rnacentral:SRP_RNA from 1 species
CGCAACGCUACUCUGUUUACCAGGUCAGGUCCGGAAGGAAGCAGCCAAGGCAGAUGACGCGUGUGCCGGGAUGUAGCUGGCAGGG